rnacentral:lncRNA from 10 species
CAGAAUAUGCUCUCCAUGAGGGUGUUCUUCAGGGCCUACCACAAUGGCUGGCACUAGAGAAGGGCACAAAAUUGAAGAACAGUGAAGACAAAAGCAAUAAGAUGAUUAAGGCCAUGUGAGACAGCAACAAUAUCAGUAGUGUCAACAGUGGCGGAAAGGGAAGUUUGUAUCACCUGUGUUAAUGCUGCUCUGGAAAGGGAGCCAGAAUGAGAGUGCACAGUGAUCACACAGUCACCAUCAAAUAAACCAUGACUACGCACAUACUCUGG